GACAGAGGGUGCAAACGUUGUUCGGAAUUACUGGGCAUAAAGCGCACGUAGGUGGUCCGCUAAGUCGCGUGUGAAAUCCCCCCGGCUCAACCGGGGGAAAUGCGCGUGAUACUGGCGGGCUUGAGAUCGGGAGGGGUGAAUGGAACUCCAGGUGGAGCGGUGAAAUGCGUAGAUAUCUGGAGGAACACCGGUGGCGAAGGCGGGUCUCUGGGCCGAUACUGACGGCUGAGGAGCGAAAGCGU
rnacentral:rRNA from 1 species